UCUUGGAUGUAAAUAGACCAGAGUACUAUGAAUAAUAUAAAAUUUAAAACUCAAAGAACUUGGCGGUGUUUUAGACCAUUUAGGGGAACCUGUCUCGUAAUCGACAAUCCGCGCUGUACCUGACCUUUUCUUGUUUUCAGUUUGUAUACCGUUGUCGUCAGGUAACUUUUUAGAGAAUAGAAGUUGGCUGUAGAAAUGUAAUUUAGUACGUCAAAUCAAGGUGCAGCCAAUGAAAAGGAGAGGAUGGGUUACAAUUAUGAGUUAUAAUAACGAAAGGAGGACUUAAAAGUAAACUGGACAAAAAUAGUUUGAAUAAGGCUCUGAAACGUGU
rnacentral:rRNA from 1 species